GACCAACGCUGGCGGCGUGCUUAACACAUGCAAGUCGAACGGAAAGGCCCUGCUUUUGUGGGGUGCUCGAGUGGCGAACGGGUGAGUAACACGUGGGUAACCUGCCCUUGACUUUGGGAUAACUUCAGGAAACUGGGGCUAAUACCGGAUAGGAGCUCCUGCUGCAUGGUGGGGGUUGGAAAGUUUCGGCGGUUGGGGAUGGACUCGCGGCUUAUCAGCUUGUUGGUGGGGUAGUGGCUUACCAAGGCUUUGACGGGUAGCCGGCCUGAGAGGGUGACCGGCCACAUUGGGACUGAGAUACGGCCCAGACUCCUACGGGAGGCAGCAGUGGGGAAUAUUGCACAAUGGGCGGAAGCCUGAUGCAGCAACGCCGCGUGCGGGAUGACGGCCUUCGGGUUGUAAACCGCUUUCGCCUGUGACGAAGCGUGAGUGACGGUAAUGGGUAAAGAAGCACCGGCUAACUACGUG
rnacentral:rRNA from 1 species